UACACUCUCUCUCUCUCUCUCUCUCUCACACACACACACACACACACAUAUAUAUAUAUUUAUAUAUAUUCAUAUAUAUAUAUAUAUAUAUAUAUAUAUAUAUAUAGAGAGAGAGAGAGAGAGAGAGACAC
rnacentral:miRNA from 1 species